UACGUAGGGUGCAAGCGUUGUCCGGAAUUAUUGGGGCGUAAAGAGCUCGUAGGCGGUUCGUCACGUCGGCUGUGAAAUCCCGAGGCUCAACCUCGGGUCUGCAGUCGAUACGGGCGGACUUGAGUACUGCAGGGGAGACUGGAAUUCCUGGUGUAGCGGUGAAAUGCGCAGAUAUCAGGAGGAACACCGGUGGCGAAGGCGGGUCUCUGGGCAGUAACUGACGCUGAGGAGCGAAAGCGUGGGGAGCAAACAGG
rnacentral:rRNA from 1 species